UGACAGGCUCCGUGAACUCAAGUGCC
rnacentral:piRNA from 1 species